GGAAGGAUCAUUAUUGAAUGAACAUGGAGUCGGUUGUCGCUGGCCCCUUUACCGGGGCAUGUGCACGCCUUCUCUAUUCAUCCACACACACCUGUGAACUUGUGAGACGGAUAGUAGUCCUCUAGGGGGCGAGGUCCGUCUGCUAAUACAUAAACUCCAAUAAUAUAAAUCUGAAUGUCAUUUGAUGUAACGCAUCUAUAAACUAAGUUUCAACAACGGAUCUCUUGGCUCUCGCAUCGAUGAAGAACGCAGCGAAAUGCGAUAAGUAAUGUGAAUUGCAGAAUUCAGUGAAUCAUCGAAUCUUUGAACGCACCUUGCGCUCCUUGGUAUUCCUCGGAGCAUGCCUGUUUGAGUAUCAUGAAAUCCUCAAAAUAAAUCUUUUGUUCAUUCGAUUGAUUUUAUUUUGGACUUGGAGGUCUGCAGAUUCACGUCUGCUCCUCUUAAAUUCAUUAGCUGGAUCUCGAUGAGCUCGGUUCCACUCGGCGUGAUAAGUAUCACUCGCUGAGGACACUGUAAAAGGUGGCCGGGAUUAUUUAAAGAACCGCUUCUAAUAGUCUAUUAGCUUAGACAAAUUUUAUUUAUGAUCUGAUCUCAAAUCAGGUAGGACUACCCGCUGAACUUAAGCAUAUCAAUAAGCGGAGGAAAAGAAACUAACAAGGAUUCCCCUAGUAACGGCGAGUGAAGCGGGAAGAGCUCAAAUUUAAAAUCUGGCGGGUAACCGUCCGAGUUGUAGUCUAGAGAAGCAUCAUCUACGCUGGACCAUGUACAAGUCUCUUGGAACAGAGCGUCAUAGAGGGUGAGAAUCCCGUCCUUGACAUGGACUCCCAGUGUUCUGUGUUGUGCUCUCAACGAGUCGAGUUGUUUGGGAAUGCAGCUCAAAAUGGGUGGUAAAUUCCAUCUAAAGCUAAAUAUUGGCGAGAGACCGAUAGCGAACAAGUACCGUGAGGGAAAGAUGAAAAGCACUUUGGAGAGAGAGUUAAACAGUACGUGAAAUUGUUGAAAUGGAAACGCUUGAAGUCAGUCGCGUUCGCUGGGAUUCAGCCUUGCUUUUGCUUGGUGCAUUUCCUAGUCUUACGGGCCAGCAUGGAUUUUGACCGUCGGAAAAGGGCUGGGGGAAUGUGGCACCUUCGGGUGUGUUAUAGCCCCUUGUCGCAUGCGUCGGUUGGGAUCGAGGACCUCAGUGCACGCUUCGGUUGUGCUUUGAUGCUGGCGUAAUGGCUUUAAACGACCCGUCUUGAAACACGGACCAAGGAGUCUAACAUGUCUGCGAGUGUUUGGGUGAAAAACUCGGACGCGCAAUGAAAGUGAUAGUUGGGAACCUUUCACGAGGGGCACCGACGCCCGGACCAGACCUUCUGUGACGGAUCCGAGGUAGAGCAUAUAUGUUGGGACCCGAAAGAUGGUGAACUAUGCCUGCAUAGGGUGAAGCCAGAGGAAACUCUGGUGGAGGCUCGUAGCGAUUCUGACGUGCAAAUCGAUCGUCAAAUGUGGGUAUAGGGGCGAAAGACUAAUCGAACCAUCUAGUAGCUGGUUCCUGC
rnacentral:misc_RNA from 1 species